CAUAUUGGUCAAUGGAGGCAACUCUGAAGCAGCCAAUUCGCGUGAAGGAUGAAGGUCUUAUGGAUUGUAAACUUCUUUUUCACGGGAAUAAAGUGGGUGUCGUGUCCUCCUUUGCAUGUACAUUGCGAUUUAGGAUCGGCUAACUCCGUGCAUGAAGCCGCGGUAAUACGGAGGUUCCGAGCGUUAUCCGGAUUUAUUGGGUUUAAAGGGUGCGCAGGCGGGAUGUUAAGUCGGCGGUGAAAUUUUGCAGCUCAACUGUAAAAGUGCCUUCGAUACUGGCUUUCUUGAGUGUGGAUGAAGUAGGCGGAAUUUGUGGUGUAGCGGUGAAAUGCUUAGAUAUCACGAGGAACUCCGAUUGCGCAGGCAGCUUACUAAACCACUACUGACGCUCAUGCACGAAGGCGUGGGGAUCAAACAGG
rnacentral:rRNA from 1 species